AAUAAUGUUGAUCUUGGGCUCUGAUGAUCUGUUGAUAAAUUAGCAAGUUUUGAAUGUUGAGUUUUGUACUCCCAAAUGUCUUCCAGAAUGCUACUAUGGGCACAAAAUAUUGUUGGUCAAUGAUGUAGCAGCUGAAUGAUCUUCAACAUGUUAGACACAUGCGAUGAUAUUACCUUCAGCUGCACUUUCUGUUACUAAAAUGGUGUCAUGAUCUGGACUAGGUGGUUCUGUUGACAUGAACCCUUCGUCACAAGUGAAGACUCCUGGAGAUUGGGCAAUGAUGGUUUGUGGAAAUGGCGGGCUAGUAUCAGGCAUCUUAUUUGGGGAAGCCACGCUUUCAUUUCCUUCUCCAGGCUUUUCAGUUCCAUUUGGAGAGUCCCCAUUCCCUUCAUAAAAGACUGUAGCUAAUGCACAGAUUUUUUGCCAGGUGGUUGAAUCAUCAGACUCCAAGAUCUCUUUGUUCUGAUUAAGGAAUCUGAAAAAGAAGAUGAGAAGAGCAGAUGAUGCUGAUGCUCCAGCUAUGAGGAAAAUGCCCUUGAAACUAUCAAGUGGUAAGCUAUCUGAUGCCAGGAGAGUUCUAUCUUGCUGUGAACAAUCUGUCUCGUUCCUGAACCACUUAUCGGUUGGUCCAAUCAUGGUGUAUUUCCCGCAGUACUUUGCAAGGAAGAGCCUGAUGUAGGGAAGCUCGUCGACAAUGGCAGCAACACCUCCAUUUUGGCUUCCUUUGGUUCUUGGUUCUUUAUGAGAUCUUCAACAUUUGUGAUGGUUGGUUGAAGCUGCUGCACGGUUAACAUGGACGUUAAGCUGGCCGUAUAGCUUGAUGUCAGCACCAGAACUACAAACACCCAGACAAUGAUCACAAAUCUUGAUAGAUUGCUUAUCACCUUUUCCCCUGCAACAUAGUUGAUUUUCACUGUCAUGAGAAAACCGAGCCUUUAAGGUUAGUUUGUUUUGUUCUUUUUAUUGGGAGACUUACUGUGAGCAUACACUAGAGUGGAGAAGGAGAACCAGAAGAUCAUCCCAACUUGCUUGUGACGAGGACCUUGAAACUCUUUGUUUACGCGAUGUUCAAGUACCCAGAUCACAAAGCCAAUGAAGAUGAAGAAAGCCCCAGUUGUCACCCAAAGUUCAGUCUUCAGAGGUCUCAAGAAAAUCCAGGCACUCUUCCUCAUAUCUUGCUUCACCGGGACAAUGGUGGUAACUCCAGAUUCUGUAAAUGGUAACGAGAAUUCAACGUAUUCAGACCUGUCUGCUAGGAUGGUUACAUCACCAACUACUGCAUCAAAAUUCUGUUGAAAUCCAAGAAAUUCAAAUGCAAUGUGGACAUAUGGUUAGCAUUCAUCAACAGACAACAUUCAACAGACAUGAAAGCAGAAGAUAUGAAAGCACAAGCAAUAGUAUUACCCCGAGAUUUAUCUGGUCAACAAAAUCAUCAUAGUCUGGAAGGUUUUGUGUGGGGAGCAGACUAAAAGAUGCUGCAUCAACAUCAUCAUUAUUUGAGUCUCUGAAGUGGGGGGAAAUCCGGGCUCUGUGAUCGCGAGUGGCAUAGAAAUCAGCAAGAGCUAGUGAAAUACAGGUCUGCCUCAUCUUCCCAGACUCGGUCUU